rnacentral:rRNA from 1 species
UACGUAGGGACCAAGCGUUGUUCGGAUUUACUGGGCGUAAAGGGCGCGUAGGCGGCGUUUUAAGUCGGGGGUGAAAUCCUGGAGCUCAACUCCAGAACUGCCUUCGAUACUGGCGAUCUUGAGUCCGGAAGAGGUGAGUGGAACUCCUAGUGUAGAGGUGGAAUUCGUAGAUAUUCGCAAGAACACCAGUGGCGAAGGCGGCUCACUGGCCCGAUACUGACGCUGAGGCACGAAAGCGUGGGGAGCAAACAGGG